rnacentral:lncRNA from 1 species
UUCCAAUUCAUUGCGGUGCCUAAUUGUUGUCAAAGUGUUGUGUUUUCCUUGACGCUGAAUGUAAUUUACAAGGAGAGGUAAGUGUAGCACCCGCUCAUCUCCUGAUGAAGGAACUGAUCCACUGUUUUGUGCUUGACUUUCAGAUAUUGACUGUGGUUUGUACCUGGUGAAAUAAGCAUGUGGAAAUGACUUGGCAGUGUUCUCCCCCUGUACCAACUCCAGGAAUUGUUGCUGCACAGGACAACAACGACCACUAGUGGCUAACGAGGAAUUUUCCCAAAUGGAUAAAAGUGGAAGAGAAAACCCAUAGGUUUAAUACGCUGAGUUACUGUGGCAGAUGACUGUGGAUGGAUUUAGUGUGCUAAGAUGUAAAGCAGGUUUCAAGUCAAUUUCUCCCUCCAGACCAUGCUGUCUUGCCUUUACUCUGCCAUGAGUUCGGCUCUUAUGCUCGUGCCCAUCACACAAGGCUAUCAGCAGCAGUGGCUUCCAAUGCUGUCCCAACUACAGAGAACCCAGACCUCACACUCUGUAGCUGAUGGCCUUAUGUUUAUCAUCACAACGUACCUCAAAAAUUAGCCAAGUGUGCAAGUCUACUGAAGGCAGAUAUUUUUAAAAUAAGCAUCUCCAUUGCGGAUUAAUGGAGUAGAAAGUGAGUGACGGAUACAUUUCUUCAUGUAACUGGAAUAUCAUUCCAUUAAACUGGACUGAAUGUUAUAGAAGACAUCCAGUGAAUUGGAGAGAAGCACUAUUUUCAGCCCUGCAUUAAUCUAAAUGGACACGUUGCCCAAGUUGUAAAUUAUUUAUCUCUUUUCUAUCUUGCAGGUUUGAAUAACUGUGAUUUUAUGAACAUCAUCAACAUGAAGGAAGGGCUCUGGAAAUGGGGAAAUCAGGCAGAAUUGUUUUGUGGUGUACCUGUGGCACACAGAGCAGCUGGAGCUGAUCCGUGGGGAGGGGAGUGCGUAAAGCUGAUGUGUCAGGUGUGAGGUGUGUGUGUGGGAAUGGGCUGGGAACCAGCUGAGACCAUAUCCUUGUACCUCAAGAAGUUCUUUUUUAAAGCUCUACUGGAAAAAAAUAGAUUGAAUCCUACCUCUUUACAUCAGGUAACAGCAACACUCAACAGAACCAGCAGCUCUGUCAACAAGAGGGAGUAAGUCUCUGGGGCAUCAGAACUGUGGUGCUGCCUCUGCACCGAGCACUUUAUCACAUGGUUUAUAAAAUGAUGAAGAGGUAGGA